AUUGAACGCUGGCGGCAUGCCUUACACAUGCAAGUCGAACGGUAACGGGCCUUCGGGUGCCGACGAGUGGCGAACGGGUGAGUAAUGCAUCGGAACGUACCUUUCAGUGGGGGAUAACGUAGCGAAAGUUACGCUAACACCGCAUAUUCUGUGAGCAGGAAAGCAGGGGAUCGCAAGACCUUGCGCUGAUCGAGCGGCCGAUGUCAGAUUAGCUAGUUGGUGAGGUAAAGGCCCACCAAGGCGACGAUCUUGAGCGGGUCUGAGAGGAUGUUCAGCCACACUGGGACUGAGACACGGCCCAGACUCCUACGGGAGGCAGCAGUGGGGAAUUUUGGACAAUGGGGGCAACCCUGAUCCAGCCAUGCCGCGUGAGUGAAGAAGGCCUUCGGGUUGUAAAGCUCUUUCGGCCGGGAAGAAAUCGCACAGGCUAAUACCUUGUGUGGAUGACGGUACCGGAAUAAGAAGCACCGGCUAACUACGUGCCAGCAGCCGCGGUAAAAC
rnacentral:rRNA from 1 species